rfam:Erwinia carotovora subsp. atroseptica SCRI1043, complete genome
GUCAUACUACGGCGCAAUAAGGUCUAAAGUAAACGAUGACCCUCAUUGAACUCUGGGGUAAAAUACGUAUCAAAAUGCAAAACCGCUGCUAGCCUGGAUAUUUUGUUCUGGGGCUGGUUGCUUUU